GGAUAGUUAGGUAUUCUGGAAUUAGUCUUAUGCUAGAUUCUGGAAUAUGAUUGAUUGUGUUAAUUUUCGAUUAAUAUCAGGAACAUUGUGUUAUUUUACCCGGUUUAGUAUUAAUCAUUUAUUGGCCAUAUAGCAUUGGUGUAACCCACAAUGCUAGGCAUGUUUAAGGUGGAUGUGUUGAUUUUGUGGUGACUAUUACUAGGAACCUUGUGUUAUAUUACCGGGUUUAGUAUUAGUCGUAUAUUGGCCGAUAGCAUUUGUGUAACCCAUAAUGCUAGGCAUAUUGGGGUGAGUUAGUGUUCCUUCAGACCUCGUACUCGUCAGGUUCAAAGAAACCCCUUAUUCGCUGGAUCGGGAAGACUCAGAUAGACGGGGUCAUGGAAUAUGGCUGAGUGAUUACAUCACGGUGUAAUGUGGCAGUGACCCGAAGGACUGUGGGCUGUCGCGCGGUGACCCGAAGGACAGUGGGCCGCGGUCGGUUGAAAGUUCCUUCUUCUGGCCUUUAUGGUAGGAAGAUAGGAUAUUGCCGAUAGUGAAGAAGGAACAUAACGUCACCAGGGCCCGAGUUUGGUAUAUAUAUUAUAUCGUGUUUGGGUUGUUUAAACCAUGGUUUAAAUCGAGUUUGAGUUUGGUGAUGAGCUAGUAAUUAGCAUAAUGCUAGUUAUCUUGCUAUUGUUUACCGCUGCGUAUUUCAGAUAUUGCUUAUUGUUAUUGAAUUGUGUUGUUAGGUGAACCUCUCGAUUUAGAUUGUUUGGGGUGGGAUAGCGAGGGGUUGUAUUUGUUAGUUGGGGAUUGUAACUCGCUGAGUAAUUCUAGAUUACUCACUCCUCACUCGUUGUUGUUUUCAGGUGACCAGU
rnacentral:lncRNA from 1 species